UACGGAGGGGGCUAGCGUUGUUCGGAAUUACUGGGCGUAAAGCGUGCGCAGGCGGUUCGUUGUGUCGGCGGUGAAAGCCCCGGGCUUAACCUGGGAAUGGCCUUUGAUACUGCCGAGCUAGAGUUUUUGUAGAGGGUGGCGGAAUUUCCGGUGUAGCGGUGAAAUGCGUAGAUAUCGGAAGGAACACCAGUGGCGAAGGCGGCCGCCUGGACAAAAACUGACAACUGAGACACGAAAGCGUGGGGAGCAAACAGGGAUUAAGAUGACCCGAGUAG
rnacentral:rRNA from 1 species